UAGACGCUGCGGACUUGAAAAUCCGUUGGCUUUAUUGACCGUGAGGGUUCAAGUCCCUCUACCCCCA
rnacentral:tRNA from 2 species